ensembl:snoRNA LOC120096398 small nucleolar RNA SNORA17
CAUGCCCCUUAGAGGUAUUAUAUGUUCGACUACUGUGUCAUAUGUGCCUCAGUGGGUAGCAGAAAGGAAAGAGGCUAUGUCUAUGCUCAGUGUUCUGACCUGUGAACACCUGAAUGAUUGUAGUCUAAUACU